ACUGGAAGGUGUUUGGCCAUGCUCCUGGGACUGCUGCCUGCUCCAUGGAAUUGAGUAAGGCCUGGCCAACUUCAGCCGUGUGCGAGGACACAAAUCCCUUCCCCUUCUAAGAGCUCCUCCUCUGGAAGGAGGUGGUGGAAGCAUCCUGUAGGAAGCUGAGAAACAGAUCCUGGACUGCUUCUCUGGCACAAGGCCUUUGCCAGCACAUCCCCGUGGUUUUGGAGCAAGGUUUACUGCAGGAGCAAAGGGAAGCUCCCUCCGAGCCCAGGCCUUCCUCCCCAGGCACUGUGCACAGCACUCAAGCCAUGGCAGCCCCAUUUAAUCAGUGCAGCACCCACUGAAUUUGUAGCCAGAUUUGUUUCUCUUCUGUAGCUGUUGCUGUGCCACCUCCAGACCUGACCCUGUCCAGCUUUGCCCAGAUCUAUCCCUGGGCUGAGAGUCUGUGUGGCUCCUUUUUGGACAGCCCAGAGCAGAAAAGGCCACAAUCUGCUAUUGUCUUCCUGCACCCCAGCUCAAGCCAGAGGAAUCCUCUUCAAGGUGCUCAAUGUGUUUUUCUUGGAGUCAUUCCUAGGGGUACAGCACGUGGCAGGGUCUGAGAGAAAGGGAUUUUCAGGCUUGCACAGCUCAUGUACACCUUCUUACACAAAAACAAAAGGUCAGUGUGGGAGAGAGGAGAAAUGGCUCCUCAGCCUCCAACUCAUACAAAACAAGGGAGGUGCUUUUUUUUUUUUUCUUGGAUUUAAUUCCAUCUGAGCCCUCCUGUUGUGGAAGGGGGGGAAAAAUAAAAACCACCGUGUUAUCCACCUCUCCAAAAACCAAGAAUGUGAAUUUGGAAUCCAAAUCAGAGCCCGGCUGAGGGCGUGUGGUCCAGGAGAGAGCUGACCUGUUUGCUCACCUGUAAGACAAAGCUGUUACCUUGGGCAUAACCAACCCCUCCCUCCAGAAAGGAGCCGAGCUCAAGAGCGAGGAGAGCAGCAGGCACUGCUCUGCACUGUCAGUACACACUAAGGAGCACAAGGACUCUGGCCUGGAAGAAAAGCAGAGCAACAGGAUGAAGAGCUCCUACCUUGCUGCAGUGCCUGACCCCCUGGGAUGAAUGCUGGGAUUUGAGAGCUCGCAGCAAAGCAGCCCUGCCUGUGCAGAGCCAGGGAGCAGCCUGGGCUCAGCCUGCUUUGCUAAUUAGAGAUGCAAACUGUAAUUCAGGUCACCCCUGCACCCAGGGCAGCUGGACUUCGGGUGGCCCUUCACCCACCAACUGCAGCCUCUGAAAGAGUUUUGGAAGCCACAGGGUCUGACACUGGUCAGGCCAGCACAUUUCCCACGGGCACUCCUGGUAGGAGGCCCUGCUGUGCAAUCACCAAACCUGGUCAGGUCAGGGCUGGCUGCUCUCCCAGGGCCCUGCUCUUGCUGCCCAGCGCCACCAGCACUAGCAGAGCCUGGUGAGGGAGCACUGAGCUAUGCACACGUGUCCCAGGGUAGGCACUUGUUGGCUAAAAAUCCUCACAAAAUCUGUUCUCCUGUUGUGUUCCUGUAUGUGGCACCUGCUCCUCAGAGCAGAAGCAGAUCAAGGGACUUUUUGGUGAGGGCUGGACGUGUCCAACUGAGUGUCUGGGCACUCCAUGGGAUGCCAGUGCACCUUGUACAAAUGCUUUUCUUCAGCUGUGCUUUAGCCCUGCUCUGUUCAGAGGCAGGCAAAGCCCAAUUUCUCUCCUCUGGGUUUCUUAGAGCUCAGCUGCAGUCCCUUGGAACAGACCUUCCCAAGGGAGAAGCCAGAGGCUUCUGAGCUGCACUAGGAGUCAGGAGAACUGAGCAGCCUGGGACCGAUGGAAAUUGUUUUCUAGGUAUUGUGCAAAGCUAUUUCUGAUCCCAGCAUCGCUCUCCAAGAAGGUCAGGACAGAUCCCCCUAGGAACUAACACUGAUGCUGUCAGCUCAGACACACCUCUGCCUCCAAAUGGGAUGGGUUUCCAUUAACCAAAUUCAGCUUGUUUCCAUAGUGCUUUUAUUUCUGAGAAGGCUGAGCUGUCGUUUUUCAUAGCUGUAGAUCCCACUCCCAGAUUAUUCUAUUAGCAGGCAUCAGUGUUGUUCUGAAUGUUAGUUAGGAAGCAAGAUGAUCAGUUUUCAACAUUUUAACGAGAAAUGUGACAUUGUGCAAUGGGGAGCCAUGAACACAGCACAGGAAGUCGAUUGCUUGGCCACAUCCACUCAGUGCAACAGAGCGGAGACACAGCAGGCUGUUUACCCACCCUGGGCACAUCUGGCUGUGGAACAGCUGCCAACACAGUGGAACAGUAAAAAACGGCCUCUGUCUGCAGAACAGACAAACCUGCACCGUUAUUGACACUGGUGGCAAAGAUUCCUCCACCUUUGCUCCUCUUGACCAGCUUCAAAGCCUCUGACUCCACGGUACAGACCAGGCAGUCACAUGUGUGACACUGCCACUGUACAGCUGGAACCAUCCAGAAAGGCCCCUCUUGGAGGCUGCUCCUCCCAAUUGCUCUCCUAGCAACAGAACCCCACCAGAAGAUCUCCACUAGAUGGGGAAGAGGGCUGCCAGGGAAGCUGGUUGGGAAAGCAAUCCCAGCUGCAAAGGGCCAGAGCCUGAGCAGGGACCCCCACAGGGGUGAUGUGAACCCUCGAGGCCGGGUCAGAGGGACUGGGCAGCCCAUGUCACAUUAAAAUGUUGAAAACAGCAGAGCACUAGGCCUGAGUUUAAGUCAGGUAGAGAGAGGGGCAGGAAGAGGUUGGAGAGGCAGUAUCCAGGAGGAGAUGAUCUUACCGCUGAUGCGCUGGCGGAGAGCACGUAAUUACGAGGUCUGGUUUCCUGAAAGUCAGGCACAGCCUGGGGGGGAAUAGAGUGUCAUGUACAAGGCACUAGAGGAGUCAACAGGAGUCGCUGGGUGAUGGGUGGGACAAGAGACCAGUGGCUUUUUCCCUGCCUGUGCUGGGAGCUUUGCUUGGAUUCUGAUGAGAGGCAGGAGGAGGUCUCCCGACACCUCAGCGGUGGCGUGUGCGGUCACACCUGGUGCUUGAACAGCAGACACUGCUCCUGUUAGGAACUCUGCCUGUACUCACAGCUGUCAGCCCAUACAGCAUGAUCCCAAAGGCAUUCCCGUUCCCUUGCAGCCAGCAUUAGCUCAGUCCUGUGGGCAGGCCCUCCCUUCCCCUUGUCUCCUGCCUACAGUCACCAUACAGGGCCUUGCCCUUAAAGGAGGAGCGUUCACCAGCACUGGAGCAUCCCUUCCACAGAGCCUUCUACUGCUCUCACUCUCCCCAAGCCACGAUUCCUCCUACCAGAGCCAGGUGUGCUGCUUUCAGGAAGGCACGUGGCUUAGCCAGGCCUAGCCAAAGGCGGUGUAGGAGUUUUCAUCCCAGAGGUCAGGAAACCUCCAAACCACAGCUGAACUUCUGCCCUGGGCCACAAAGACUUGAGCACUCUGGAGAUUUCUCCACUGGAAGUGCAAUGGAUCCAGCCCACUCCCACACAGUUGUGGGCUCAUUAAGCACCCCAGAACGUGGUGCUUUUAUUCAGUGAAGACCAGGCCUCCUCCUGGGAUGGCCUUUGGCUGUAGCACUAGAGACAAACCAACGAGCUGCCUGACAUCAGGAACGCUCCUGUGGCUGCUGUGCAGGGCUGGCACGGUGCUGCUGGAUGCCAGCUCUGGUGUUAAUCCCCUCAGGCCUCUGGUUCUCCCUCCCAGGUUAAUCUCUGAGCAGUCACCCAGAUCCACUUACACACACUGACCCACUUUGCUGGAAUGAGUGACCAGCGUGUGUGGAAGACCAGUCAGGCAGUCCCAACCAUGUUUUGUUGUUUGGUUUUUUUUUUUUUUGUUGUUUUUUUCCAUACCAUUUAGGAGUUUUAGGGAUGGCUGGAGGAAGGAAUAAGGAGGAGCAAUUCCUAUUUCAAGUUAAACCCGAAUAUAGGGAGAAAAAUGCACCAGUGAGUUUUGAGGCCGGCAGAGCAAAUAGGCUGGACUCCUCCCUGUGGGGAGAAAGGAUGUUUCACAGAAACAGCUGCUUAUGCUUUUUGUUUUUUGAAGACCAAGAGCAACUGAAGAAACCUCUCCUCCCAUUCCCUGGUCUCCAGGGAGUCCCAAAACUAGUCACAGCACAUGGGAUGAAGGAGGCAAGCUUCUCUUGUACUUCUGUGCAUGGAGAAGUUGUAUUUGCAAGCAGUGGUCAAAAGGGACCCACCUCCCUCCCCCUUCCACUCUGGUAAUGGGGAAAAGGGGCAGAACAGCACCACAACCAGAUCAUCCUGCCUGUCAUUGUCUCUGGGCUGCCCUCCCAGAGAGGGACUGGCCACCCAACCCCAGGAGCCCCUGCCUCUCUUGAGCACUGCUUGCAGGCAGUGUGGAUGGACCUGAGGGAUGCUCCAGAGGGGCUGCAGGCAGAUCUCUGACACUCCCACCCUUCUGGAGCACCUUCCCCAGGCAGCCACAGCCCUGAUCACGCUCAGAACAUGCUGCAGGGCCAGUCCCAACGGGACAAAGGAAAUAUGAAUUUUCUUUUAAAAAAUGGGAAAGAGACAAUGAGAGGUGUCAAAGGAAAAAAAAAAAAAUCACAGCACUGUUAGCACAGUCAAUACUCACAUCUCCCUCACACUGAGCAAAUUACAAAGAAACAAAACAAAAAGGUUAGUAAACAAAACAGCAUCAACAGGAAGGACAAAGCACAGAGUCUGUGGGAAAUGCACAAGCCCAGGUGUGCACAGCAGCUCACGGGUCUGGGCAGCAGCACUCGAGGGGCAUCAGGAGACAGAAGCUGUGGGAACACGAAUUUGCACCACAGAGGGGAAGAGCAGCGAGAGAGAGGUGAGCUGGGAUCUUCAGCUGGGCUGGGGAGGUGUGACACAGGGCUCCAGGUUACAGGGAAUGCUGUGACCGAGCUGAGGUGUUGAGAGCUGAGGAAGCAGCUCUGCCUUGGUGCUGGGAGCUUCCACCUCGUCAUCCAGCAGUCAGAGAGGCACCCAGAGCCCAGGGACCCAGCUUUAGGCUGAGCUGGGUGAGAGAUGGGUCCCCACAGCAGCAGCUGAGUUUGCUCUGCUGCUGGGGUCAGUGUUUCUGCCACUCUGCUACUUUGAGGCUUGGCUUGGGGAGCCAAGUAAAGCCUGGAUUGGCUCUGCACCUGCCUGGGGCACCUCAAAAGGUCCAGUGGGAAGCAAAGGUUUUUCUUUUCAAGCUACAGGGGAGUCCCUAAACCCGGGGUCUGUGUGCAGGUGAGAGGCCUUGGGGUCACCUCCUGUAGGAGGCAAGGUAAAGAGGGUGGAGAGGGAGGAAGCACAGGAGGCAUCUGAAUUCCUGCUUUAUCUGAGCUUAAAGAUAAAGCAGUGGCCACCAGUUUCCCCCCAGACUGGGGGCACUGUCCCCUCCAGAAGGGGAAUGGGGGAUUCCUGAAGGUACUCUCAGAGGAUCUGGGGGACCUGAAUGAUUAGAGGAGGCUUUUUUAAAAGGGCAGCUACUACUUCUGCUCACAGCUGUCCUGUGUAGGUCUGAGCACUCUGUCAGACCUGCUGAUGGAGGCUGCUGAGCUUAGCACAGCUUCCCCAUCUGCUGUGGAUGUAACUGGAGCUGGAGGAAAGGGAAAACACCUGGGAAAACCCAGGGAGAGGCACGGCCAGAGGCCCAGCUGGCAGAUGGUUAGAAACAGGCUCCCAGCAGGGCUGUGUAUCCCAGUGCAUCCCAGAGCCUGACUGACAAGGACCAGCUGAUUGUGACUUGCACACAUUUGCCAGUUGAGCUCCUGGCCCCAAGGCAAAAGCACAACUUGGCAGGUCCUUGUGCCAACAGCCAGAGCUCUACAGGAUGAAAACCAGCUCCAACCAGGCCCUCCAGGGAACCCAGCAGUGCCCAGUGUGAUGAAUUCCCCAACGCCAGAGGGCAAGACAAGCCUGUAACUAGAGCGCCAUGAACUGAGUGAGCAGAGAGGCUCAGGACAGACCUUGCAGCCAGUCUGACCCUGGCCACCCCUUACGGGCCCCCACAGCGCUCCUGCCUGGGAGCUGGCAGAAUCCUAAUGACUCUGACAGGCUGGGACUGCUGCAGUGCUCCAGCAGCCCUUCCCUUGGGCACCUCCCAGCUCAGCUCUCUCUUGCCUUGGUUUAAGCUCCCCUGUGAAAAUCAGCAAGACCUCAGAAGAUGCAACCUUUCAGUUACUAGCACAACUCAUCCAGCAACCCUGAUCAGUCAGCAGGCAGGAGCCUGGGCCAAGUGCAAGUUUCCAGAUUCCAGAAGCACAGGACUGUUUGCUUCAACAACUCCCCCAAGGGAGGACACCUCAGAAACAGGCACAUGGCUCCUGCUCCCCGUUCCCUUCCAUCCCAGAUGAGGAAUUCCCCCAGCUGUGCCUGCCAGAGACAGGACACAGCAGGGAAACCUUCAGCUCCAGAGAAACCAAUUAACAAGUUGUUGGCUUCUUCCAACUCACCCAGAGCUUCCACGCUCUGUGCUGGGGGAUGCAGGCACGGCUGCACCUGGCCUGGGCAAGACCCAUCAGAGAACAGCAGCAGUGGGGAUGUGCCAUGAAGUGCGAGGAGAGCAGGACCACCUGCAGCAGGAGCAGGCUGCCACGAGAUCAGGUGAAGCUUCUCCUGGAAGCACAGCCAGCACAGGAGAUUACAGGUGAUGUGUGACCACUCCUGGGAAGCUGGGCCUUGGUUGUGUCAUGACUACUCCAAAAGACAAAUGUGGUUUCUAAUAAUGUCCCACCUCCUCCUCUCUUUCGGUUUUAUUGCUGAGCAACGUCCUUUGGUAUGGAAUAUCCCUUUGGGCAGCUUGGGUCAGCUGUUCUGACCAAGACCUUGUCCCUUCCUUGGGUCCCCUUCUGCUCUCUCAACUUUUAGAGUAUGAGCACUAAUAAGGUCAGCAAGCAGAGGGUUUAUUUUAUCUACUAAUGAUAAAAGUCUAUUUUAUCACCAGAGGUCAGGGAGCUGGGGGAGUCUGUUUGUCUGCAGGGACUUCAAGAGAGAGAGUCAGCCUCUAGCUGUUUUAGUAAUGACAUUAGGGGGAGAUAAGCACCCCAAAGCUGUAUUCACACUUGGGCAUUUUCACCCAGAGCCUGUUCACAUCAGAACUGACAAAAGACAGACACCUACUGUUAUUUCCAGACCUCCCUGAAAGAGCCUGGCCUGAAGCCUGUCGGGAACAGGGACAUCCAGUGUGUGACCACACAGCUUCCACUGGCCAAGGGUUGGCAUCAGACCCAUCUGCUGAUAACUGGGAGGUGCAUCUGAUCAAACAGGGAGGUCCUUCUUCAAGUGAAGAUGAGGAGUGGCCUGUUAGGAGUCUGCCUGCAGAGAGUACUGACCUGAUGGCAGUGCAAGUGUCAAACCACCCUCAGGGGAAUGCUGAAUCCUGCACAAGCUCUGUGCCCUUGCAGUGCCCAAGCCUAGAAGCUCGUUCCCCAUUCCCAGGGUAGCAGAGCUGUCCACUGCUUUCCUACCCCAACUCCACUGUCUGCUCUGCUUUACUGGAGGAGUCCUGACUGAACAAGAAAUGUAAAACAGUGGGUUUGAGCUGUUUUCAUUGGGGUUUUUUGGUCAUGGGGAGCUUAGGCCAAAAUCAUUCUUCCAUUGCCUAUGUUGGGUUGUAUUUGACAGGUUUCAAACCAGCUCCUGCCCUGAGCCAGCCCAGAGGCGUUGUGCUGACCAUGCCCUGUCUCCUUUCUCCCUGGCUGAGCCCUAAUUCCAGUUCAAGUGAAUCUUCCUCUGUGUUGGUCAGACAGCUCUGCCAGACAGCAGGAGCUAAUGCUGUCUGCACAGCACAUAAUGGCCACUCCAUUUAUCUCCCAGUCUCUGCAGUUCCAGAAAACAUCACUUUGUUAAAUGCCUGGAGCUGGAGGAAACACCUCCCAAUGCUACAGAAACCAGCUUUUUCUAGACAGCUUAUUCCCAUCCUAGAAGAUCUGCAGUGCUAAAGAGUGCUACAAAGCCAGCCCUUACUGCCCACAGCAGACCUCAGCUGUCACUGCUGGCUCUUGGGGGAGAUGGGGCAGGGCCCACCGGGCACCCAAAAAGGCUGAAUUCCCGCAGCAGCGACCCCUCAUGAGGUGGUUUUCAGCCUCAGAGAUCUCUUUCCUUCCAGCUCCCCCUCCUUACACACCUGCUCGCCGUCCACAAGUGCCAGUGCUCAUUUGGUUUCAAUAAA